CAGCCUCUUUCAGUCGGCAGCACACACCUGUCACUGUAAACUGCUCUGGGUUCAUUCAGACAUGAAAAACCUUCAUUUCAAGGACUUCUUCUGGAAUUCUGACCUGACGUCCACCGGUGGAUAUGAUGCGAUCGUCCAGUAUCUCAGCGAUGGAAAGAGGACAUGUAAGGAGGUGGAGGACUUCAUGAAGGCCAGGGCCUCCAUUGAAGAGAAAUAUGCCAAAGACCUCCUGGGUUUGUCCAAGAAAGUGUGUGGACACAAUGAGAUGAA